AUUAUACAAGCAUCUAAUGCCAACCUCAUUAUAUCUGUCAUCGAAACAACACAGAGAGGGAAAGAACUUAAUGACGCCCAUCAGCGUUUGCUAACAUCACUUGGUGAAAUUGCAGAUAGCAAAGCACACCAUAGCACUUCGAAAUUGCUGCUAUCUCUUGCUUGGAGAUGGAACAAAUUCGAUUUUGCUCAAAACGAGAUACAGUUUCCAGAUCCGAUGUCUGCAUGCGAUGAAAUCACAUCUUUGACACAUGUGACCAAUGUCACAAUUGCUGAUACCCUGUUCGAAAUAUUGGGCAAUGAUCAAG